rnacentral:rRNA from 1 species
CAGUAGCCACGGGAAUACAGAGGAUGCAAGCGUUAUCCGGAAUGAUUGGGCGUAAAGCGUCUGUAGGUGGCUUUUCAAGUCCGCCGUCAAAUCCCCGGGCUCAACCGGGGAGGGUCAUUGGAAACUGGGAAACUUGAGUGCAGAAGAGGAGAGUGGAGUUCCACGUGUAGCGGUGAAAUGCGUCGAGAUGUGGAGGAACACCAGUGGCGAAAGCACUCUGCUGGGCCGACACUGACACUGAGAGACGAAAGCUAGGGGAGCAAAUGGGAUUAGAUACCCCAGUAGUCCCUGUCUCUUAUAA